rnacentral:rRNA from 1 species
AACGAACGUUAGCGGCGCGCUUAACACAUGCAAGUCGUGCGAGAAAGGGCUUCGGCCCCGGUACAGCGGCGCACGGGUGAGUAACACGUAGGUAAUCUGCCCCCAGGUGGUGGAUAACCUUCCGAAAGGAGGGCUAAUACAGCAUAAGACCACGGGUUCGAAAGGACUUGAGGUCAAAGCCGGCCUCUUUACAAAAGCUGGCGCCAGGGGAUGAGCCUGCGGCCCAUCAGGUAGUUGGUAGGGUAAUGGCCUACCAAGCCUAAGACGGGUAGCUGGUCUGAGAGGAUGAUCAGCCACACUGGAACUGAGACACGGUCCAGACUCCUACGGGAGGCAGCAGUGGGGAAUCUUGCGCAAUGGGCGAAAGCCUGACGCAGCGACGCCGCGUGAGUGAUGAAGGCCCUCGGGUUGUAAAGCUCUGUGGAGGGGGACGAAUAAGUGUUGGCUAAUAUCCAGCAUGAUGACGGUACCCCUUUAGCAAGCACCGGCUAACUCUGUGCCAGCAGCCGCCGCAGUAA